AUUUUUAUUUUCGUCUCAAAACGAUAUAUAGGCUCUCUUCUCUCUAAUUAUUCCUCGAUACUCGUGGAAAAUAUCAACUUGAAAGUUUUCCAACAGUUUGCAACACGUUAAGGAGAAAUGAUUCAACGCGUUAUCGAUCGUUCAUUAAGCUCUACGUGACUGUCGAGUACACUCGAGAGAGAGAGUAAGAGAGAGAGAGAUUCUCAUCUCGCCUCAGCCGCCCUUUUCACCAUCGAUGACGGCGAUGAUCACGACAUCUUGUGUCUUCCGAAGCCCGGGUUCUUUGAACCGACGAGCUCGUUUCACGGGAAAUUCUCCUUUUUCGAGUUUUCAUCCCCCUGCAAAA